rnacentral:rRNA from 1 species
CACGUAGGGCGCAAGCGUUGUCCGGAAUUAUUGGGCGUAAAGAGCUCGUAGGCGGACUGUCACGUCCGCUGUGAAAAGCUAGGGCUUAACCCUGGCCUUGCAGUGGAUACGGGCAGACUAGAGGUAGGUAGGGGAGAAUGGAAUUCCCGGUGUAGCGGUGAAAUGCGCAGAUAUCAGGAGGAACACCUAUGGCGAAGGCAGCUCGCUGGGACGUGACUGACGCUGAGACGCGAAAGCGUGGGGAGCAAACAGG